AGAGUUUGAUCCUGGCUCAGAUUGAACGCUGGCGGUAUGCUUAACACAUGCAAGUCGAACGGAAACGAUGGUAGCUUGCUACCUGGCGUCGAGUGGCGGACGGGUGAGUAACGCGUAGGAAUCUGCCUGAUAGUGGGGGAUAGCCCAGAGAAAUCUGGAUUAAUACCGCAUAAUCUCUAUGGAGUAAAGGAGCCCUCUUCUUGAAAGGUUUCGCUAUCAGAUGAGCCUGCGUAAGAUUAGCUUGUUGGUGAGGUAAAAGCUCACCAAGGCGACGAUCUUUAGCUGGUCUGAGAGGAUGAUCAGCCACACUGGAACUGAGACACGGUCCAGACUCCUACGGGAGGCAGCAGUGGGGAAUAUUGGACAAUGGGCGCAAGCCUGAUCCAGCAAUACCGCGUGUGUGAGGAAGGCCUGAGGGUUGUAAAGCACUUUCAAUUGUGAAGAAAAGCUAAUGGCUAAUACCCAUUAGCCUUGACGUUAACUUUA
rnacentral:rRNA from 1 species